GACGAACGCUGGCGGCGUGCCUAACACAUGCAAGUCAACUUGACUGAAGGAGCAAUCUGACAGUAGAGUGGCGCAAGGGUGCGUAACGCGUAAGUAACUUGCCCAAGGUAAGGAAUAACGUCGAGAAAUCGGCGCUAAUACCUCAUAAUGCAGCGGAUCCGCAUGGAUAUGUUGUUAAAGGUUUACCGCCUUGGGAUAGGCUUGCGUCUGAUUAGCUAGUUGGUGUGGUAACGGCACACCAAGGCUACGAUCAGUAACUGGUCUGAGAGGAUGAUCAGUCACACUGGAACUGAGACACGGUCCAGACUCCUACGGGAGGCAGCAGUGAGGAAUAUUGGGCAAUGCUCGAAAGAGUGACCCAGCAACGCCGCGUGGAGGAUGAAGGUAUUCUAUAUCGUAAACUCCUGUGAGAGCAGACGAAAGACAGAUUAUUAAUCUGGAUGACUGUAUGCUCAGAGGAAGCCCCGGCUAACUACGUCG
rnacentral:rRNA from 1 species